GGGAAGCCGGUCGAAGUCCGGCGCUGACCCGCAACCGUAGGUCCCGGUCCCCGGGACGAGCCGGAGCACC
rnacentral:ncRNA from 1 species